GGUCGUGGCUCAGAGGUGGAACAUCUGCUUUGCUUGCAGAAGAUCCCAGGUUCAAUCCCUGGUAGGGCUG